GUUUCCAAUGAAGGCCUCAAAAAAGUCCAAAUAUUCACUUGCAGAUUCCACAAAAAGAGUGUUUCAAAAGUGCUCUAUCAAGAGGAAUGUUAAACUCUGUGAGUUGAACGCACACAUCAUAAAGUAGUCUCUGAGAAUCAUUCUGUCUAGUUUUUAUAUGAAGAUAUUUACUUUUCUAACAUAGGCCUCAAGCCGAUCUAAAUAUCCACUUGGAAAUUCUACAAAACGAGUGUUUCAAAACUGCUCUAUCGAAAGGAAGGUUCAACUCUGUGAGUUGAAAGCACACAUCACAGAGAAGUUUCUGAGAAUUCUUCUGUCUAAUUUUAUAUGAAGAAAUCCCAUUUCCAACGAAGGCCUCAAAGAUGUCCAAAUUUCCACUUCCAUAUACUACAAAAAGAG
rnacentral:lncRNA from 1 species